AUUUCAGCGCUGCAGGGGAGGGGAGGGGAAGGGAGAGGGAGAGAGAGAUGAAGGCGCGGCGGGGAUCGUCGAUUUACCAGGCGGCGGACGGUCGCGGAGCCAAUGAAUCUUGGAAGGUCUCCGCCCCCGGCCGCCGGGACUCCGACGCGAGUUUGAUUGGCAGCCGCAGGUCAUCGUCCAUCCAGUCGAAGACCGAAGCCUUUCCCAUCAGUGACCGGCACUACCAGCAAUCCGCCAUCCGGUCGAUCAAUUCCUACCUUUCCUCCCACUCUUUCCACAUAACCCUAACCCUGAAGCCUUUCCCGAGCGAGAAGGACAUCAAGGAGACGUUCCGCUUCGUUCUUUUGGGAUUCGACUGGGACGUCGGCAAAAAGAUGGAGGACGAUCUGCUUAUUGUCUUGAGGUGUUUGGGCUGCCCGAUAAAGUUCAACAAGAGUAUUCUCAAGGGGCCGGGCGCUCCGCACUCAUGGCCGACUCUCCUCGCCACGCUCCACUGGCUGGUGCAGGCACUCAAGUACAAGGAACACCUGGCAUCCGAUUCGUCGACCUUCUUCGCCGAGAACGAAUUGCUUCAGUACAUUGCUCUGAGCUACGGCCACUUCCUCCGGGGCGACGAUGAGGCCGUCAGUGAGAUCGAUAAGGAAUACAUCUCGAAGUUGGAGCAGCAGAACGCCGUCUCCAUGCAGAAUCUCGAGGCGAUGGAGAAGCAAGUGGCUGAUCUGGAGGCGAAGGUUCAGGGAAUCAAGGGCCGCCCUUUGCGAAGGGAGGUUCUCGAGAAGGACAAGGGCUUGCUUAAGGCGGACAUACAGAAGUUUUCUUUGCUGGUCAAGGAGCUUGUGAGCCGGACGAAGGACUUGGAGGCGUCACUGGAGAAUAGAGGACGGGAUCUGGAGGAGAGAUUGAAGGAAAAGGAGAGGAUAUUAGCGGAGAACGCAGAGUUGAGGAAAAAAAUCGACGCACAGACGGUCAACGUUAGGGAUGUGGAUAAGAUGAGGAGAGAAGUUCAGGCUGUUGAGAACGAGGUUGCAGAGAUAGAGAAGACAAAGAUUGGGUGGGAAGAGAAGAGUUGGGAGUUGCAGGCAUCGGCUGCAAAUGUGUUGAAGGAAGUGGAGUGCUUAAUCGCAGACUCUAACCAGGCAAUUAAGCGGUUGAAAGCUGGCAGUGAUUUCUGCUUUAAGCUGAAUAGUGAGGGGUCUACAGCAGUUGAAGUGUUUGGAGUCGACUACAAGAGAAUGAUCAAGCCAGUACAACUUUCUUUUCUUGAUGAGACAAAGAAAUCUUCUAAGGAAAGUUUGGAGGAUUUAGUUGCUCUACAACAGCAGUUACAUGAAACCUCAGCACAAAUAGAUGCGAAGCAAAAUGGCAACAAAUUGCUGCUAGCGAAGAUAGAAAAGGCAGAAGUUCACCAGAGUUCUUUAAAAAAGGAUACGCAAGAGUACAUUUCUCAUUGUGCAACGUCUCUCAAAAAGAUACAAGAAGAUGUUGAAGAAAAGAGGCAACUUGCAGAUAAACAGUUGAAAGAAGCUGAAGAGCGUUUGAAGGCUGUGGAUUUGGAACAUGAAAAAGUAAAAGGGCAAUAUGAUGAGGAAGUCCAAGCAUGUGGUCAUGAGCUUCUACAGCUUUUUCAGGCCAUAGUAGAGCACAAAGAACACAAUGAACAGGUCUUAUCAUCAAUGAAGUCUGCUGUGCAGGAAACUUUAGAUUGGAUUGCAGAGGCUCAUAAGACCUCCUGGAGUACAAGAUGGGGCAAUCAGAAUCCUUGCCAACUGGCAAUCAGCAGCAAGGUUGAAGGAGCAGAAGAUAUGUUAUACAAGUGAACUGGAGUGGAAGGCACAGGCACUUCCGACAUAGGCAACUAUUUUGGCAGAGAGCUUAUGCUGCUUGCAGUAGUUAAGAGUACAGCUGACAUGAUAUAUCUUUCGUUGAUUAAGUUUGUUUUAUUAAGCUCUUCUGGGGGAGCAGAUCUUGUUGGUGGUACUCAGUUGUAUAUUAUCAACAAUUUAUCAUUGAAGUUUGAAAUUGAAGGGUAUUGUGGCUGUUGCUGAUCUACCUACAUGCUUGUCAUGUUUGCUAUCAUCAUGCCUAUCUUCUGCUUUACCAUCUUCACCUUUGCGGUGACCAACACAGGGGCAGGGUCGGUUGGCAUUCAAUAGAGGCAUCAAGAGCAUGAGCUUGGGAACAACUCCAACUUCUGCAGAAGUGGGCGAACCAUGAGAAGAACUAGCGAAAGAGCAUGAGUGUCCUGCAGGACAAUAAGGUCCCAGAGCCUGGCCGUGAUGGUAUCAUCUUGCAGGCCUCUGAGUUCUUCAACCUGAAUCUCUCUCUCAUCUAGGUUGAGGACCACAUGCACAAUAGCAGUUGUUAGAAGACUUAAGAAGGAACCAAAAACAAUCAGAUGAUAAUGACAUACCUUUACAACUAGCAGAAGUUGGGAUUGCAUAUGAACAUUCUUCAUCGGCUGAAAAAUCUGGAGGAUCUAUCUUGAACGAUGCCAGCUCCAUAUGUCAUGAAAUAAUGGAAGAUGGUAGGAUUUGAAGUACUUUUGUUUGUUCUUUCCUCCUUUCUUGUAAGGUUGCCAAUGUCCUUGUUAUGUUGUUAUAGCCCCACAUUCUGCUUACAAAUGUAUGCAAUUCUGUAAGUUAAUUUAUUUGUUAGAUGUUUCUCCUUUGUUGCCAUAGUGCACAGAGAACUGGACAAAAGCAA